UGGGGAAUAUUGCACAAUGGGGGAAACCCUGAUGCAGCGACGCCGCGUGGAGGAAGAAGGUCUUCGGAUUGUAAACUCCUGUUGUUGAGGAAGAUAAUGACGGUACUCAACAAGGAAGUGACGGCUAACUACGUGCCAGCAGCCGCGGUAAAACGUAGGUCACAAGCGUUGUCCGGAAUUACUGGGUGUAAAGGGAGCGCAGGCGGGAAGGCAAGUUGGAAGUGAAAUCCAUGGGCUCAACCCAUGAACUGCUUUCAAAACUGUUUUUCUUGAGUAGUGCAGAGGUAGGCGGAAUUCCCGGUGUAGCGGUGGAAUGCGUAGAUAUCGGGAGGAACACUAGUGGCGAAGGCGGCCUACUGGGCACCAACUGACGCUGAGGCUCGAAAGUGUGGGUAGCAAACAGGAUUAGAUACCCUGGUAGUCCACACUGUAAACGAUGAUUACUAGGUGUUGGAGGAUUGACCCCUUCAGUGCCGCAGUUAACACAAUAAGUAAUCCACCUGGGGAGUACGACCGCAAGGUUGAAACUCAAAGGAAUUGACGGGGGCCCGCACAAGCAGUGGAGUAUGUGGUUUAAUUCGACGCAACGCGAAGAACCUUACCAAGUCUUGACAUCCUGCGACGCACAUAGAAAUAUGUGUUUCCUUCGGGACGCAGAGACAGGUGGUGCAGGGUUGUCGUCAGCUCGUGUCGUGAGAUGUUGGGUUAAGUCCCGCAACGAGCGCAACCCUUAUGGUCAGUUACUACGCAAGAGGACUCUGGCCAGGCUGCCGUUGACAAAAUGGAGGAAGGUGGGGAUGGCGUCAAAUCAUCAUGCCCUCUAUGACUUGGGCUACACACGUACUACAAUGGCGUUAAACAAAGAGAAGCAAGACCGCGAGGUGGAGCAAAACUCAGAAACAACGUCCCAGUUCGGACUGCAGGCUGCAACUCGCCUGCACGAAGUCGGAAUUGCUAGUAAUCGCAGAUCAGCAUGCUGCGGUGAAUACGUUCCC
rnacentral:rRNA from 1 species